CGAUUGUAUAGACUAGAUGUAUAGUCUAGAGAGUACAGAGCUCAGAGUCAGUUCAAAUAAAAUAUUUAACUAAAAUGCUCCUCAAUUUCUCAAUUCUUCCCGGACAAGCAUUAUCCAGUUGAAUCGGACCCUAAUCCGAAUCAGCAUCAAUAGAACCCAUAAAUUGGUUUCUCAUGGAGUCUUUUCGUAAAGAGUCGGGAAAGACACUUAUUUGCAGACAACGAGAAACGGUCAACAGUUAUUUGCGAGCUCCGAUUUUGAUUCAUUCUAAAUAAAAGUUGAGCUUGAUCAGAAAGAUUGAUUUCAGAGCUAUUCUUCGAGCUGUAAACUGUUAGAUCAGAUGCUUACCAAGCCUGUGCCGUCGCGCUUUUAAUUCUAGGGCAAGCCUCUUCAGAGUUCUGUGAGAAUGGUCAGCUAUCGUGGUGACGCUUUGACGGGGUCUUACUAGACUUUUUAAGUCGCGGAUAAGUUUCCGUAAUAUUUUGUGAAUUCCAGGUGAUAGAUUUACGAUUGUUCUUAUUAUGUAUUGGCAAGAAUAGAAAAUUGCCGCCAACACACCUGCCUUUUUAUUAGAAUAAAUUGCGUCUCCAAAUUUUUCAA